AGACCAUCAGGUAACAAGACACCAACAGUAGAACUCGUAACUACAAACACUAACAGCUGUAUGAAUGUUUUUCUUAAACGCAUUUCAAUUAACA